rnacentral:misc_RNA from 1 species
GAUGAAGAACGCGGUGAAAUGCGAUAAGUAAUGUGAAUUGCAGAAUUCAGUGAAUCAUCGAAUCUUUGAACGCACCUUGCACCCUUUGGCAUUCUGAAGGGUAUGCUCGUUUGAGUGUCAUUGUACUCUCACACUCCCGAUCUUUGCAUUGGGAGCAGUGGACUUGGGUUUGCUGCUUCACCGUCGCUUACCUCAAAUAGGUUAGUGCAACUCUUGGUUGGACAUAGUACGGCGUGAUAAGUGUUCUUCGCCGGUGCCUCGCAAAGAGGGUGGCCGAUCGGGAUGUUGUGCUCCAAACCGUCUUCGGACAAUCUCUGACGACUUGACCUCAAAUCGAGUAAGACUACCCGCUGAACUUAAGCAUAUCAAUAAGCGGAGGA